GGUCUGUUGGCUCAGUGGUAGAGCGUCUGAUUCCAGACAUCUCCGUGGUUCCAGAAGGUCGUCCGUUCGAUCCGGGCACAGAUCA